GGAUGUGAGGGCUAUCUGGCUGUGACAUCUGUCACCCCAUUGAUCACCAGGAUCGAUUCGGCUGAUCUGGCUGGCUAGGUGGGUGUCCCUCCCUCCCUCACUGCUCCAUGUGCGACCCUCCCAAAGCUGGGCGCUUGGUCAGUGAGGACGACCACCCCUGAUAGAGGAGACCUGUUCUUUGGUCAGGGGUAUAUGAGGAAUAGCAGCACUCCCCUGCUAGAACCUCCAAACAAGCGCUCAUGUAAUUUUCACAUAUCAUUCUUCUUUUGAUUUUUUUUAACCAUUUUAUUUUAUAUUUUAUUUUAUUUUUUUAU
rnacentral:snRNA from 1 species